rnacentral:rRNA from 1 species
AGAGUUUGAUCCUGGCUCAGGAUGAACGCUGGCGGUAUGCUUAACACAUGCAAGUCGAACGAAGUGCUUCGGCACUUAGUGGCGGACGGGUGAGUAACGCGUGAGAAUCUGCCAAAAGGACUGGGACAACAGCUGGAAACGGCUGCUAAUACCGGAUAUGCCAGAAAGUGAAAAGGGUAAAACCGCCUUUUGAUGAGCUCGCGUCCGAUUAGCUAGUUGGUGGGGUAAAAGCCUACCAAGGCGACGAUCGGUAACUGGUCUGAGAGGAUGACCAGUCACACUGGGACUGAGACACGGCCCAGACUCCUACGGGAGGCAGCAGUGGGGAAUUUUCCGCAAUGGGCGAAAGCCUGACGGAGCAAUACCGCGUGAGGGAGGAAGGCUCUUGGGUUGUAAACCUCUUUUCUCAGGGAAGAACACAAUGACGGUACCUGAGGAAUCAGCAUCGGCUAACUCCGUGCCAGCAGCCGCGGUAAUACGGAGGAUGCAAGCGUUAUCCGGAAUGAUUGGGCGUAAAGCGUCCGCAGGUGGCUUUGCAAGUCUGCUGUCAAAGCUCAGGGCUUAACCCUGAAUCGGCGGUGGAAACUGAAAGGCUAGAGUGUGGUAGGGGCAGAGGGAAUUCCCAGUGUAGCGGUGAAAUGCGUAGAGAUUGGGAAGAACACCAGUGGCGAAAGCGCUCUGCUAGACCGCAACUGACACUCAUGGACGAAAGCUAGGGGAGCGAAUGGGAUUAGAUACCCUAGUAGUCC